rnacentral:lncRNA from 1 species
GGUUGGUUCCUGUGGCGGUAGGUAGGCUGGGAGAGAGGAACUUGUGGGAGCUGGUUUACAGUGUUCUGUCAAUUUUCUACUGUACAGCAAGGUGACCCAAUUGCACAUACAGGAGAAAAACAUCUAAAAUCUGUGAACUCAGAAGUAUCCUGAUGAAGAGCAUGGGCUCUGGAAUCACUCUGCCUUUGGCUUGAAUCCAGACCCUUCACAUGGAAUCACCUCAGGAAAACUCGCCCCACACCAGUUGCUUUGAGAAGUUCAUCUGAAGGAUGAAAGCAGCACACACAGUCACUGCAGAAGAGUAGGUCAAAGAAGAAAUGUGGGCAGGCUUUCGUAGGUGAGAGAAUCUAGCUCCUGACUGUGAAGAGACUAGAAAACCAAGGCACAGAGAGACUGAGUAACCUGCAAAAGAUAUGAAGCCACUAAAUGGGAGAGCCUGGAUCUGACUCAAGUGAGUCUGGUUCUGGAGAGUCCAUGCUCUGCACUGCCUCCUGUGUGUUUUCUUCCAUUGUCUCUUAGUACUCCAUAGUCUCUUGUUAAAGAGUUAGCCUAUCCCAGGGAGACUUUAAAACGGUUGUUUUGGGCUAAAGCACUAGAAAAGGUGUUAUCUGGGUUUGAGGGUAAGGUGUGGAGCAUGACCAGGGGAGGGCAGAACGGUCAUCAUCUGCACUAGCUAAUCUAAGGGAAAAGCAAAACCAACAGAGGAGAACAGCUGGUCAGUGUCCCUCCCUGGACAAAAGUUCUCCUUCCAGGGCUCACUGAUUCUACCCAUCUAAGGAAGAAAGCAGCUGCUCAUAGCCCUCUCCUCUCCUUGCCCUCCUCAGGCUUCCAGCUACCCCCUCUUGCUGAAUACUAUUCUUUUUUUCAUCCCUGUGCCACUGUUCUAGCUUUUCUUCUAAUAUUCUGACCACCCUUUUGGUGGGUUUAUUUCAUUUCAUGUUAUUUUGUCUUUUUAAGGCCACACCAGUGGCACAUGGAGGUUCCCAGACUAGGGGUCAAAUUGGUCGAAUUAGCCUCCAGCCUACGCCACAGCCAUAGCCACACCAGAUUCAAGCCGCAUCCACAACCUAUGCUGCAGCUUGUGGUAAUGCCCUGGAUCCUUUAACCCACUAAGCAAGGGCAGGAAUUGAACCUGUAUCCUCAUGGAUACUAGUCAUGUUCUUAACCCACUAAACCACAACUGGAACUCUGGUGGGUUUAUUUAUUUAUUUAUUUAUUUAUUUAUUUAUUAAGCCAAAGCAAUGCCAGAUCUGAUCCGCAUCUGCGACCUACAGCACAGCUCGCGGCAAUGCCGGAUCCUUAACCCACUGAGCAAGGCCAGGGAUUGAACCCAAAACCUCAUGGUUCCUAGUCGGAUUCGUUUCUGCUAUGCUAUGAUGGGAACUCCCUGGUGCGUUUAUUUUUAAUUGAGCUUUUUCUACUUGCUACCUUAUAACUGGGUUGUAUCCUGUGUAGCUUCAGUCCUUGGUCUGCAUUGUCUCCUGAUGCUGAGAACUCAUGGGUUUAACUAUCGCUAUGAGGCAAUGUUCUCCAAAUCUAGAGCCUCUUCAGAGUGGCUGAUCCCAUCUCCAGCAAUGGGUGAGGUAUAUUUUUACUCACGUAUCAUUUUACCUCAAAUUUUAGAAAUCCAAAAUGAAGUGAAUUGUCUAUACAUCCUCUUCUGUCACUGUCAGGCAUGGAGGGAUAACCUGGAGUGGACUGGCCUUAUCUCCUCUUGCCUCCAGCCAUGCUGUUGUUCAGCAUGUCUCAUCAUGCCUUCACCUAGCAAGAUUUCAUUUUCUUACUCCCUGCUAUAGAUGGAAUGUUUGCAUCUCUCCAAAAUUGAUAUGUUGAAACCUAAUCCCCAAUGUGACAAUGUGAUGGUAUUUGGAAGUGAGUCCUCAAAAGGGCAAUCAGGGCCUUAGGGUGGAGCCCUUAUGAAUGCGAUUAGUGCCCUUAGAAAAGAGACCUCAGAGAGUUCCCUUGAGCUUUUCACUGUAAGAGUGCACAGUGAAAAGACAGUUGCCUGCAUAUGGAUGGUCUUGAAAAGCCCAACAUCACUAAUUAUUAGAAAAAUACAAAUGAAAACUACAAUGAGGUACCACCUCACACUGGUCAGAAUGGCUAUGAGGUACCACCUCACACUGGUCAGAAUGGCUAUCAUUAAUAAGUCUGCAAAAAACACAUGCUGGAGAAGGUGAGGAGAAAAGGGAACUGGUGGUAGGAAUGUAAAUUGGUAUAACCACUAUGGAAAACAGUAUGAAAUUUCCUCAGAAAACUGAAAAUAGAACUACCAUAUGAUCCAGCAAUCCCACUCCUGAGCAUACAUCUGGACAAAACUAUAAUUCAAAGAGAUACAUGCACCACUAUGUUCACUGAAGCAGUAUUUGCAAUAAUCAAGUCAUGGAAACAGACAUCUAUCAACAGAUGAAUGGAUUAAGAAAAUGUGCAUAUACACAGUAGAUAUUACUUAGCCAUAAAAAAGAACAAAAUAAUGCCAUUUGCAGUUAACGUAGGUGCAACUAGAGAUUAUCAUGCUAAGUGAAGUAAGUCAAACAGAAAGACAAAUACCAUAUUGAUAUCACUUAUAUGUGGACUCUAAAAUGUGGCACAAAUGAUCCUAUCUACAUCAAAAACAGACUCACAGACAUAGAGAACAAACUUGUGGUUGCCAAGGGGAGAGCGGGUAGAGGAGGGAUAGACUAGGAGUUUGGGAUGAGUAGAUGCAAACUAUUAUAUUCAGAAUGGAUAAACAAUAAGGUCCUACUGUGCAGCCCAGGGAGCUAUAUCCAAUGUCCUGGGAUAGACCAUGAUGGAAAGUAAUAUAAAAGAAAGAAUGUAUAUAACUGAGUCACUGCUAUACAGCAGAAAUUGGCACAACAUUGUAAAUCAACUAUAAUAAAAAAAAAAAAAAAA